GGGGGCGAAAUAGGAUCGACGUACCUAAUAAAAAGAUUGCUUUUACUCGGGAUGAUUCCGCCGAUGGCUUUGCCAUAUGGGUCAAAACAAAGAAACGCAAACGAUAAUAAUCGUUAUGUAGGUGCAGCUUUAGCAGCUUAAUCCUACGCGGCUGGGGGUUUGCCGGGCAACAGAAAAACCCCACA
rnacentral:tmRNA from 1 species